UAAUCAAAAGGAUAGUGUCAAUUCAAUGUUAAAGCAAGCAUAAUGAUGUUGUCCUCCACUUGUCUACCCUUCAUCUGUUUCAACCAUAGACUUGGUUCUAAUUUAUAUGCCAUCUUUUGUGUUGCCACAAGGCCUACACUUUUGACAAUGAAGCCAUCACUAAUUAAUUCAGCAUCAUCCACCUAAUUCAUCAUCAACAGGGUCAAGCUUACUCAACAUUUUUUAGUAAUUUUUAAGGUUUAAGCAGUUUUCCGACACCAUAAAGACCAUUUACAUUUGUGAAUGUUGUUUUCCUCCAUCACCUUCUUGCCAUAACAAUGAAGAAAUAAUGAUAAAAAGAGCUUGUCAUGGGAGUAACAGUGUAGUGCACAGAAAAAACAAAAGUAAAUCCGCAUACAACAGUACAACAACAUCAUUAUAAAACGCUAAUAGCAGGAGCAAGGUGGAUCAAACAAACACAGACCAGGUUUUUUUCUCUCUCUCUCUUGUAACGAAAUGGCAGAGGAACUUGACCUCGACAACCUUAAGGCUCUGAAAGUUUUAGGUAAAGGAGCCAUGGGCACUGUGUUUCUCGUGCAACACAACUCCGGCCAUGUGGCGCUCAAAGUCGUCGACAAAUCAUCAUCCCUUCACGACGGCGCUCGCCGCGCCCACUGGGAAAUCAGCGUUCUCUCUCGCUUAUCCCACCCCUUCCUCCCCACCCUACUGGGUUCCUUCGAGUCCAACAACUUAAUGGGCUGGGCCGUCCCCUACUGCCCCGGCGGCGACCUCAACCUCCUCCGUUACCGCCAAACAGAUCACGUAUUCUCCCCCGCCGUCGUCCGCUUCUACCUCGCCGAGAUCCUCUGCGCUCUCCACCACCUUCACUCCAUGCACAUCGUGUACCGCGACCUCAAACCCGAAAACGUCCUCAUCCAACAAUCCGGCCACGUCACCCUCACCGACUUCGACCUCUCCCGAACUCUCAGUCCCACCAAAACCAAUACUUCUCCCUCCAACUCCCACAUUCCUGACACCGCUCCGCGCAAGCCCCGCCGCAACUUCCGCUGGGUCCCACUCACCAAGGCUCCCAAGUCCGCCCGAGUCACCCCCGCCGCGCGCCGCGCGGCGCCGAGCUUCGAGCGGUCGAACUCGUUCGUGGGCACCGAGGAGUACAUCGCGCCGGAGGUCCUCCGAGGCGAGGGGCACGGCUUCGCCGUCGACUGGUGGGCCCUCGGCGUCCUCGCCCACGAGAUGGUGUACGGAACGACGCCGUUCAAGGGAAGGAAUCGCAAGGAAACGUUCCGCAACGUGUUGUUGAAGACGCCCGAGUUUGUUGGGAAGAAAACAGCGUUGACGGACCUAAUCUCUCGGUUGCUCGAAAAGGACCCCUCCAAGCGUUUGGGUUAUGUUCGCGGCGCCAGCGAGAUCAAGGAGCACGAGUUCUUCAGAGGGGUGAAGUGGGACCUACUAACGGAGGUUAUGCGGCCGCCGUUUAUUCCUUCAAGAGAUGACGUUACGAAACCUUUCGCCGAUGGACUUGACGUAAGGGGAUAUUUUCAGAGCCUGAAAUCUCCGCCGUCUUUGCCCCCUUCGCCGUUACCGUCACCGUCGUGUGAGUUUCAGAACGUUUCUUUACCGGAAUUCUGAUGCACGUGUGGGAGGUGGUAGACCUAGCUAGCUAUUCUUUUUAACUCUUUAAAUUUCUGUCUAUAUUGGGGAAUGAAUAACGGUGUAGAACGCAAAGUAACGGCGUUACUCAGAAAUUACUGCUAUCAUAUGCUUUUGUUAAGAUGCAUGAACAUCGCUCCCUCCCAUCUACAAUGUUAUUCUUUUAAGAGUAUAAGAGUAAGAUUGUAAAUAUUCUUCUAUCCAAUA